UACGUAGGGGGCAAGCGUUGUCCGGAUUUACUGGGCGUAAAGAGCGUGUAGGCGGCCAAGCAGGUCCGUUGUGAAAACUGGAGGCUUAACCUCCAGACGUCGACGGAAACCGCGUGGCUAGAGUCCGGAAGAGGAGAGUGGAAUUCCUGGUGUAGCGGUGAAAUGCGCAGAUAUCAGGAGGAACACCUGUGGCGAAAGCGGCUCACUGGACCACAACUGACGCUGAGGCGCGAAAGCUAGGGGAGCAAACAGG
rnacentral:rRNA from 1 species